GAUGAACGCUAGCGGUAUGCUUAACACAUGCAAGUCGAACGAAAAAAUUUGAAAUAAUUAAAGAAAUUUAAAAAAGUCUAUUUUUUAGUGGCGAACGGGUGAGUAAUGCGUGAGAAUUUGCCUUUAGGAGGAGGAUAACCAUUAGAAAUAAUAGCUAAUACUCCGUAAAGUCUUAUUAUUUAAGAUGAAAGAAUGAAUAU
rnacentral:rRNA from 1 species